AUUGAACGCUGGCGGCAGGCUUAACACAUGCAAGUCGAACGAGUGGCGGACGGGUGAGUAAUGCUUGGGAAUCUAGCUUAUGGAGGGGGAUAACUACGGGAAACGGUAGCUAAUACCGCGGACCCUAGGAUGAACCCAGGUGGGAUUAGGUAGUUGUGGGGGUAAAGGCCCCACAAGCCGACGAUUUCUAGCUGGGCUGAGAGGAUGACCAGCCACCCUGGGACUUAGAAACGGCCCAGACUCCUACGGGAGGCAGAAGUGGGGAAUAUUGCGCAAUGGGGGCAACCUGACGCAGCCAUGCCGAGUGAAGGAAGAAGGCCUUCGGGUUGUAAAGUUCUUUCGGUAGCGAGGCGUUAACUACAGAAGAAGCACCGGCUAACUCCGGGCCAGCAGCCGCGGUAAUAC
rnacentral:rRNA from 1 species